UUUGAUCCUGGCUCAGAAUAAACGCUGGCGGCGUGCUUAACACAUGCAAGUCGCACGAGAACUCUUUAAGCUUGCUUAGAGAUAGUAAAGUGGCGCACGGGUGAGUAACGCGUGGGUAAUCUACCCUUGAAUCCGGAAUAACUCGCCGAAAGGCGUGCUAAUACCAGAUAAAAUCAUUUCAACCUUGGUUUAAAUGAUCAAAGGUGGCCUCUACAUGUAAGCUACCGUUUAAGGAUGAACCCGCGUACCAUUAGCUUGUUGGUGGGGUAACGGCCUACCAAGGCGACGAUGGUUAGCUGGUCUGAGAGGAUGAUCAGCCACACUGGAACUGACACACGGUCCAGACUCCUACGGGAGGCAGCAGUGAGGAAUUUUGCGCAAUGGGGGAAACCCUGACGCAGCAACGCCGCGUGAGUGAUGAAGGCCUUCGGGUCGUAAAGCUCUGUCAAGUGGGAAGAACCUGAAAAAUGAUAAUACCACUUUUUAUUGACGGUACCACUGAAGGAAGCACCGGCUAACUCCGUGCCAGCAGCCGCGGUAAUACGGAGGGUGCAAGCGUUAUUCGGAUUUACUGGGCGUAAAGGGCGCGUAGGCGGUCUUAUAAGUCAGAUGUGAAAGCCCGGGGCUCAACCCCGGAAGUGCAUCUGAAACUAUAGGACUUGAGUAUGGGAGAGGGAAGUGGAAUUCCUGGUGUAGCGGUGAAAUGCGUAGAUAUCAGAGGAACACCGGUGGCGAGCGACUUCCUGGACCAAUACUGACGCUGAGCGCGAAGGCGUGGGGAGCAACAGGAUUAGAUACCCUGGUAGUCCACGCAGUAAACG
rnacentral:rRNA from 1 species